CCCGUACUUGGUGUUACUGCGAAGGGGGGACGGAGAAGGCUAUGUUGGCCGGGCGACGGUUGUCCCGGUUUAAGCGUGUAGGUGUGUGUUCCAGGUAAAUCCGGUUCACUUUAACACUGAGGCGUGACGACGAGGCACUACGGUGCUGAAGCAACAAAUGCCCUGCUUCCAGGAAAAGCCUCUAAGCAUCAGGUAACAUCAAAUCGUACCCCAAACCGACACAGGUGGUCAGGUAGAGAAUACCAAGGCGCUUGAGAGAACUCGGGUGAAGGAACUAGGCAAAAUGGUGCCGUAACUUCGGGAGAAGGCACGCUGACACGUAGGUGAAGUGAUUUACUCAUGGAGCUGAAGUCAGUCGAAGAUACCAGCUGGCUGCAACUGUUUAUUAAAAACACAGCACUGUGCAAACACGAAAGUGGACGUAUACGGUGUGACGCCUGCCCGGUGCCGGAAGGUUAAUUGAUGGGGUCAGCGCAAGCGAAGCUCCUGAUCGAAGCCCCGGUAAACGGCGGCCGUAACUAUAACGGUCCUAAGGUAGCGAAAUUCCUUGUCGGGUAAGUUCCGACCUGCACGAAUGGCGUAAUGAUGGCCAGGCUGUCUCCACCCGAGACUCAGUGAAAUUGAACUCGCUGUGAAGAUGCAGUGUACCCGCGGCAAGACGGAAAGACCCCGUGAACCUUUACUAUAGCUUGACACUGAACAUUGAGCCUUGAUGUGUAGGAUAGGUGGGAGGCUUUGAAGCGUGGACGCCAGUCUGCGUGGAGCCGACCUUGAAAUACCACCCUUUAAUGUUUGAUGUUCUAACGUGGACCCGUAAUCCGGGUUGCGGACAGUGUCUGGUGGGUAGUUUGACUGGGGCGGUCUCCUCCUAAAGAGUAACGGAGGAGCACGAAGGUUGGCUAAUCCUGGUCGGACAUCAGGAGGUUAGUGCAAUGGCAUAAGCCA
rnacentral:rRNA from 1 species